CCUACGGGAGGCAGCAGUGGGGAAUAUUGGGCAAUGGAGGAAACUCUGACCCAGCAAUGCCGCGUGAAUGAAGAAGGUCUUCGGAUUGUAAAGUUCUUUAGUUAGGGAAGAAUAAACUGACGGUACCUGACGAAUAAGCGCCGGCUAACAACGUGCCAGCAGUCGCGGCAAUACGGAGGGAGCAAGCGUUGUUCGGAAAGUCUGGGCGUAAAGGGUGGGUAGGCGGUGUUACAAGUGAGAAGUGAAAUACCCAGGGCUUAACUCGGGUGCUGCUUCUAAAACUGUAAGACUUGAGUGGGAGAGAGGUUAGUGGAAUUCGUGGUGUAGCGGUGGAAUGCGUAGAUAUUAGGAGGAACACCGGAGGCGAAGGCAGCAAGCUGGAC
rnacentral:rRNA from 1 species